rnacentral:rRNA from 1 species
UGGUGGAGUGAUUUGUCUGGUUAAUUCCGUUAACGAACGAGACCUUAACCUACUAAAUAGUUAUCUUAACAUUUGUUGAGAUUAACUUCUUAGAGGGACUUUGUACGCAAGUGCAAGGAAGUUUGAGGCAAUAACA